GGUUAAGCGACUAAGCGUACACGGUGGAUGCCCUGGCAGUCAGAGGCGAUGAAGGACGUGCUAAUCUGCGAAAAGCGUCGGUAAGGUGAUAUGAACCGUUAUAACCGGCGAUGUCCGAAUGGGGAAACCCAGUGCAAUUCGUUGCACUAUCGUUAACUGAAUACAUAGGUUAACGAGGCGAACCGGGGGAACUGAAACAUCUAAGUACCCCGAGGAAAAGAAAUCAACCGAGAUUCCCCCAGUAGCGGCGAGCGAACGGGGAGCAGCCCAGAGUCUGAAUCAGCUUGUGUGUUAGUGGAACGGUCUGGAAAGUCCGACGGUACAGGGUGAUAGUCCCGUACACCAAAAUGCACAGGCUGUGAACUCGAAGAGUAGGGCGGGACACGUGGUAUCCUGUCUGAAUAUGGGGGGACCAUCCUCCAAGGCUAAAUACUCCUGACUGACCGAUAGUGAACCAGUACCGUGAGGGAAAGGCGAAAAGAAC
rnacentral:rRNA from 1 species